AAAUUGUGGAUAAUGAGAGGAAAUCUCUCAAUAAUACAAAAAUUGUAGCAAUGUAUAAAUGAAUAGACUUGCUACUGAUAAGCUGGGUAACCAGCGACCCCUCAUCUGACUCUUAUGUAUCAAUUAGACUUUAGGGUAAGGGCCUAAAGUGAUGAUAACGCAUACAGAGAAUUAGGGUUCGAUUCUGGAGAGGGAGCAUGAGAGAUGGCUACCACUUCUAAGGAAGGCAGCAGGCGCGCAAAUUGCCCAAUGUGGAAAUCACGAGGCAGCGAACAUCAAUAACAAUGAGAGACUGAAUAACAGUUUUUCAAUUGGAAUGAGAUAUGAGAAGAGAAAAAAGCGAGAAACAAGUGGAGGGCAAGUCUGGUGCCAGCAGCCGCGGUAAUACCAGCUCCACAAGCGUAUAUUAAAGCUGCUGCAGUUAAAACGCUCGUAGUUGUGGUUUCGUUAGCGGAGCGGUCUGUGUCUCAAAAAGACGCGGGCAAUUCUGCUAAUUACAAUCUAGUGUGUGUGUUAACUCAUUCAUACUAAGUAAACCUUGAAGAAAUAUUGACGCUUAAAAUUUGACUUAAGUCAAAGUUCUUUUUGCAUGGGAUUUUGGAAUAUGAGUGGUGGAGUAAAAUCCGCUGCUAAUGACAUUCGAGGAUGAAAGAGGAAGUUAAUAUUUGUGAGUCAGAGGUGAAAUUCUUGGAUUUCGCAAAGAUUAACUAAUGCGAAGGCAUUCUUCAAUUGCUUUCCUGUCAAUCAAGAACGAAAGUAAGGGGAUCGAAGACGAUCAGAUACCGUCGUAGUCUUUACAGUAAAUUUUGCCGACAAAGGAAACGGGAAAGACCUAGAAUGCGCCGGGCAACUGGUACAUUUAAUAUCCUCCUGUUUUCUCCCACGAAAGUUUAAGUCUUUGGGUUCUGGGGGGAGUAUGUUCGCAAGGCCGAAACUUAAAGGAAUUGACGGAAAGGCACCACCAGGCGUGGAGCCUGCGGCUUAAUUUGACCCAACACGGGAAAACUUACCAGGUCCAAACAGCGUGAGGAUUGACAGAUUGAGAGCUCUUUCAUGAUUCGUUGGGUGGUGGUGCAUGGCCGUUCUUAGUUGGUGGUGCGAGCUGUCUGGUUGAUUCCGUUAACGAACGAGACCUUUGUGAGAUAAUAGUUGAAUCAAGAUAUUGCGUCAAGGCUGGAGCUCACGUAUUGGGGAAGGAUCCGUUCCUCCCUUUACUCUGGGUUUCAGUUGCAAUCUAGAUUACAACUUCUUUCUCAGACAAAU
rnacentral:rRNA from 1 species